AUUUAAAUAGCUUAAAAAGAGCAUAGUAUUGAAGAUACUAAGGUAACAGGUGUUUUUAAGUA
rnacentral:tRNA from 1 species